rnacentral:rRNA from 1 species
UACAGAGGUCCCAAGCGUUGUUCGGAUUCACUGGGCGUAAAGGGUGCGUAGGUGGUGAGGUAAGUCGGAUGUGAAAGCUCGGAGCUCAACUCCGAAAUGGCAUUGGAAACUACCUUGCUCGAGGGUUGGAGGGGGACUGGAAUGCUUGGUGUAGCAGUGAAAUGCGUAGAUAUCAAGCGGAACACCAGUGGCGAAGGCGAGUCCCUGGACACUCCUGACACUGAGGCACGAAAGCUAGGGGAGCAAACAGG